UACAGAGGUCUCAAGCGUUGUUCGGAUCCAUUGGGCGUAAAGGGUGCGUAGGCGGCGGGGCAAGCCAGGUGUGAAAUCCCGGAGCUCAACUCCGGAACUGCACUUGAUACUGCCUCGCUAGAGUACUGGAGAGGAGACUGGAAUUUACGGUGUAGCAGUGAAAUGCGUAGAGAUCGUAAGGAAGACCAGUGGCGAAGGCGAGUCUCUGGACAGUUCCUGACACUGAGGCACGAAGGCCAGGGGAGCAAACAGG
rnacentral:rRNA from 1 species